GAUGAACGCUGGCGGUGUGCCUAACACAUGCAAGUCGAGCGAACAGACGAUGAGCUUGCGCCCCUGACGGUGGCGGCGGACGGGCGGGUGACACGUGCAUAACCUACUUCUAAGACGGGGAUAAUAUCGGGAAACAGGUGACGAUACCACAGCAUAUGUUGUACGGCAGGAAGCAAUAGUGCAUCAGGGCUUUGGCGUCAGAAUGAGAUGGAUCCGCGCCGCAUUAGCUAGUUGGUAAGGUAACGGCCUACCAAGGCAACGAUGCGUAGCCGAUCUGAGAGGGUGAUCGGCCACACUGGAACUGAGACACGGUCCAGACUCCUACGGGAGGCAGCAGUAGGGAAUAUUCCGCAAUGGGCGCAAGCCUGACGCAGCCAUGCCGCGUGAGUGAUGAAGGUCUUCGGAUCGUAAAGCUCUUUUAUUAGGAAAGAACAAAUGUGUAAUUAACCAUGGCCGUCUUGACGGUACCCAAACAGAAAGCACCGGCUAACUACGUG
rnacentral:rRNA from 1 species